CUCAAACCCUAAACUAUUUGAUCAUCUUCCACAUUCAUUUCACUAAUUCCUCCAGGUUUCUUCUUCUCAACAUCCUUCGUGCGUUAGAGCGGCGAUAAACCCCAUGAUUUCUCUUCCUUGUGUUGGAAUUCCCGAGGGAUUUCAUGUCUGAGUUUACUCGGUUAAAAGAGAAAAGUUGGACUUGCUAAGCUGCUGGUGAUGAGAAAUGAAACCCAUUAUCAUUAUAGCUAUUUCAAUGAAGCUGAAAAGUAUGAUUCAGGAGAUGAUGUUUUAUCCAUUGACGAAUUGGACUUCCACUUUUAUAGAACUGAGGAGGAUCCUUCAAUUUGCAGUA